GACGAACGCUGGCGGCGUGCUUAACACAUGCAAGUCGAACGAAGUGGCGAACGGGUAAGUACUACGAGGGUACCCUGCCGUCGUGUAUGGGAUCAGCCUUGGGAACGUGGUAUAAUAUCGGAUAGAGGGGGGUGGGCUUGUGGCAUAUCAUGUGGUUGGUGGGGUGAGGGACUACCAAGGCGGUGACGGUUAGCCGGCCUGUGAGGGUGACCGGCCACAUUGGGACUGUGAUACGUCCCAUAUGACUACGGGGGGCAGCAGUGGGGGAUAUUGGACAAUGGGCGAAAGCCUGAUGCAGCGACGCCGAGUGGGGUAUGAAGGCUGUCGGGUUGUAAACCUUUUUCGCUAUCGAACGGGUAGGUGGAGAAGAAGCGCCGGCUAACUACGUGCCAGCAGCCGCGGUAAUAC
rnacentral:rRNA from 1 species